GCCUUAGUGGUGUAACGGCUAGCACGGAAGACUGUGGAUCUUCAAGCCCGGGUUCAACUCCCGGCUAAGGCC
rfam:Candidatus Micrarchaeum sp. AZ1 Contig1, whole genome shotgun sequence.